AGAGACAGCAGCCGCCGCGGGAAUACGUAGGUGGCAAGCGUUGUCCGGAAUUAUUGGGCGUAAAGGGCUCGCAGGCGGUUUCUUAAGUCUGAUGUGAAAGCCCCCGGCUCAACCGGGGAGGGUCAUUGGAAACUGGGAAACUUGAGUGCAGAAGAGGAGAGUGGCAUUCCACGUGUAGCGGUGAAAUGCGUAGAGAUGUGGAGGAACACCAGUGGCGAAGGCGACUCUCUGGUCUGCAACUGACGCUGAGGAGCGAAAGCGUGGGGAGCAAACAGGAUUAGAUACCCGAGUAGUCCCUGUCUCUUAUAC
rnacentral:rRNA from 1 species